UUUCUGCAGUGUCACUCUUCACAUGAUGUCUUUUAAAUAAAUCCUCUGCAACUGGGUUAUAUUAUAUUAAAAAGUUAAAAUCAGCCUUGAGUGGACAAAGUAUCCAAAAUAGGUGAAGAUAUUUGUGUCUGCUGCUUAGAGAUGCUCCAAUCAGAAUACGCAGCCCUCAGCUGACCUACCGCAUCAUCCCCUCCAGUUCCAUCCACGUCGAUGCAAAU